rnacentral:sRNA from 1 species
UGGAGCUCAAUUGGCUUGGGCUAUUAAUGAAAUAUUUAGUUCAAGAUUUUCUCAGUUUACUUUCGAUUCAGUUCGUCAUAUUUAUCCUGUGAUACCUUUUUCUUCAUUCUCGAUUUAAUAGCUAUUUAAAUUAAUUCAAUAUAUCGAGGUAUAUAUGUCAAAUAAGACAACAGGUUCAGUAAAGUGGUUUGACGAAACGAAAGGUUUUGGUUUUAUCACUCCAGAUAAUGGUAGUGCUGAUGUUUUUGUUCACUUCAGAGCUAUCGCUACAGAUGGUUUCAAAACGUUGGCUGAAGGCCAAAAAGUAGCUUUUAAUGUAGAGCAGGGUGGCAAAGGCCCACAAGCUGCGAACGUUACUUUAGCUUAAUCGAUAUUCAGGGAGGUUUCGUUUAUUGCCUAGUUAUAACGAGAUCUCUCUACC